CUGUGACGUCAAUCUUAAGCGACCUUCCCUGCCAAGUAGCCUCUGGGAGAGGUUUUUAGCCCGGUCAUUAACAAAGAUGGCUACCAGCAACCCUGUGCUAAACCGACUGGACCAGAGAGCUGCAGAAGCUGAUCAGAUUAUUGAAUACCUCAAACAACAAGUUUCACUGCUCAAGGAAAAAGCAAUUCUGCAGGCUUCUCUACGAGAGGAGAAGAAGCUUCGUGUAGAAAAUGCCAAGUUGAAGAAAGAAAUUGAAACCCUGAAAGAACAGCUAGUAAAAACUGAAGUAAAAAAUGGAGUGAAACAGAUUAGCAUACCAGCUAGCACCUCUGCUAACUCCAGUACUUCCACACCAGUAAGUGCUCCCCAGCCAGCUCCAGUGAAAUCUUCCCCUCCAGCGCCAAAAUCAGGAGAAGAAAAGAAAAUGAAGGAAAAAACAGAAAAGAAAGGUGAGAAGAAGGAAAAGAAACCUCCUGCAUCAGAAAAUGAGCUAAAAGCAGUGGACGUGUCUCGCUUGGACCUCCGUGUUGGCUGCAUCAUUAGUGCCAAGAAGCAUCCUGAUGCUGACUCCCUGUAUGUAGAAGAGGUAGAUGUAGGAGAAGCAACACCACGCACUGUUGUCAGUGGCCUUGUGAAACAUAUACCUCUUGAACAGAUGCAGAAUCGCAUGGCUGUGCUGCUGUGUAACUUGAAGCCUGCGAAGAUGAGGGGUAUUCUCUCUCAAGCCAUGGUUAUGUGUGCCAGCUCCCCAGAAAAGGUGGAGAUUUUGGACCCUCCAAGUGGAGCAGUUCCUGGCGACAGAAUCACCUUUCAGACCUUCCCAGGAGAACCUGACAAAGAGCUCAAUCCAAAGAAGAAAACAUGGGAGCAGAUUCAACCAGAUCUGCUUACUAAUGACAAGUGUGUAGCAACGUACAAAGGAGUGCCAUUUGAAGUGCAAGGAAAAGGAGUGUGCAAGGCUCAGACCAUGGCCAGCAGUGGCAUUAAAUAAAAUCUGACCACAUUUAUAUGUUGUACCAUUGGGCUGCACAUUUGGGAUACAAUAAAGCCAUGUUUUCGGCAACA